GGAGAACAUUCAUAUUGUCCUGAUUGUCCUACAUUAGAAUCUGGAUGAGUCUUCAAUAUGUCUUCCUGAGUCUUCUGGGCAGUCCUGGGUGCUGACGGCCAUUUUGUGUUCUCUCAGUGCUGCUGUCGCUGCUCUGCUCGCCUUUUUUGGACCUGGAUGUUUGAGAGAAAAGGCUAAGGCUAAGUUCAUUCUCAAAACUUCAAACACCCUUUAUGGAAAAAAUGUACUUGAGCGCCCGAAAAUAGUUCAGAGACCCAACGACGAUGUGCAGGGACAGGAGGAAGGAGUGCAUUACAGCUCCAUACAUUUUUCUAAUGGAGAUCGCAGAGGGAAAGGGAAGAACACUAGUGUGAUCCUAUGUAUUUGUUUAUUAGCUGCAGUUGUAGAUGGAACAUGCUGAUAUGAUAUUUCUUAAUGUUAGUACAGCUACUGGUAUAGAUAUUGUUUAUCUGGUACUGUAUUGUUGUAGUUAAAAUUCCUCCUGUAAAAUGUACAUCGUUCUUUUGCUAUGAAGCCCUUAUAUGUGUCUCACACUGUACUGGUUGUCUACGGCAUUCAGCAAGGCCCUGUGUUUGUACUGCUAUACUUCUGCAAAUCAUUAGUCAUAGCAUAUUUAGAUUUUACUAUAAUGUCACCACACUGUUGUAUUGAUUUGAUGAUGCAUUUGAUCAUUUAUUUUAUAUCUGUAUCUAUAUAUAUAUAUAUAUAUAUAUGUUGUAUAUAUACACUACAGGUCAAACGUGUUAAAACACCAAGAGAAUGCCAGGAGUGUGCAAAGUUGUCUUCAAGGCAAAUGGUGGCUAUUUGAAGAAUGUUGUUGU